rnacentral:rRNA from 1 species
GACGAACGCUGGCGGCGUGCCUAAUACAUGCAAGUCGAACGCUGAAGGAGGAGCUUGCUUCUCUGGAUGAGUUGCGAACGGGUGAGUAACGCGUAGGUAACCUGCCUGGUAGCGGGGGAUAACUAUUGGAAACGAUAGCUAAUACCGCAUAAUAGUAGAUGUUGCAUGACAUUUGCUUAAAAGGUGCAAUUGCAUCACUACCAGAUGGACCUGCGUUGUAUUAGCUAGUUGGUGGGGUAACGGCUCACCAAGGCGACGAUACAUAGCCGACCUGAGAGGGUGAUCGGCCACACUGGGACUGAGACACGGCCCAGACUCCUACGGGAGGCAGCAGGAGGGAAACUUCGGCAAGGGACGGAAGUCUGACCGAGCAACGCCGCGGGAGUGAAGAAGGUUGUCGGAUCGUAAAGCUCUGUUGUAAGAGAAGAACGAGUGUGAGAGUGGAAAGUUCACACUGUGACGGUAACUUACCAGAAAGGGACGGCUAACUACGUG